UACGAAGGGGGCUAGCGUUGCUCGGAAUUACUGGGCGUAAAGCGCACGUAGGCGGAUUGUUAAGUCGGGGGUGAAAUCCUGGAGCUCAACUCCAGAACUGCCUUCGAUACUGGCGAUCUCGAGUUCGGGAGAGGUGAGUGGAACUGCGAGUGUAGAGGUGAAAUUCGUAGAUAUUCGCAAGAACACCAGUGGCGAAGGCGGCUCACUGGCCCGAUACUGACGCUGAGGUGCGAAAGUGCGGGGAGCAAACAGG
rnacentral:rRNA from 1 species